UGUUAAACGACAUCCCCACGAAGCCAUUACAAAGCUACAUAAACCCAUAAAAAGCAACAAAACCCAUUACAAAGCUACAGAAACUCAUAGUAAGACUUAGUGAACUUUAGCACUUACCAUACUCAGGGGGGGCCAUCCCCACGAAGUCAUCGGAGGGGCAUUGCCCACAAUCGUCGUCGAAGCAGUCAAAAUUAUUGGAGCAAAGUGCAGGUGGAGUCGUCGUCGUCUUCCUCUCUCUCAGAGACUCAAUCACAUCAAGAAUGGAAAAGAUACAUUUGAGAGGAUGGAUUUGUCCAUCUAAAUGAGCAUUUUGUCUAGCCUAAGCCUAAGAGCAUGUUAAUUCAUGGGCCUCGAAAGAAUAUCACAAUCAACAUGAGAAUGAGAAAGAGUGAAUAGUGUUAUACCCAGAUUUCGAGCCAUGUUAAUUAUGACCUCGAAAGUUGGAUUCGCAAAUAAGUGGACUCAUAAGGUUGGAAGCAAGCUCCAGGAUCAUAUGCCGAGCUUGCAGGAUAUGGACGAUCUCGAGUAUGGUGACCUCGAAGAGUUCAUGAUCUCGAAAGAUAGCCCCGGGAACACAUUCAUCUUCGGAGACAACUUCGGAUCAGGAUUCCCGAGCUCGACGCGCAUACGAUCUCGAACAAAUUGGGUGACCUUGGAAGAUGUCUCCAGCUCGAAAGGUGACAGGAAACCUGGGAGACUAAAGCCUUAGAGAUACGCGAUAACCACAUUGAAUAUCUACAAGUAUUAUAAAUAUGAGAUGUAAUCCUCAUUUAUUAAUGUAAAUCCCCUAGAAUCGUGGGAUAUUAUUUGAUCAGUUAUGUGUUUCCUGGUCUUCAGGGACGUUUCCUUUUAUAUCUGAUUAUAGGCAUUUAAAGCCAUUUAUUUUAUUCACAAAAAGAGUAACUACCCAAAAUAUGUGGGAUAGUAUUCUGCAUCCCUCUCUAUAAAUAGAGAAGCCAUGCGCCAUUGUAAAUGACCGAAAUUCUGAUCCUUGAGAGAAAACUCUGAAGAAUUCAUGUUUGAGAGUUUUCAGAGAUAAUCUUGAGAUUAAUAACAGAGACUCGUG